ensembl:lncRNA
GCUCAAGGGUAAGUUGUCUUGCCAUAUAUAGGAUAGAGUCGUUUGAUCUGUUCUUGCCCCGUCUGAACGCCGAGCAGCAGAGAAAACAUAGAACCACCACUGGGAUUGGUGAUUCUGUGGCUCUUGGAGACUCUGCAUCGCGUCGGAACACCAUGUGGUAUAGAUCAUUACAUCUUGGUACACGGAGCACUGGUGAGACAAAAGGUUGGAUCAGAGGGAGAAGGUGUCUGAAGAAGGGAGGGGAAUGUAAAGAAAGCAAAAAGGGCGGACGCGGACCGACACAGAGUUAAAGACAAUAGAUGGAUUGACGCCACAUCUGCUGGGAAGGAGUCAUACAUGCUAUGUUGUCAAAUUGGAUUCGGAAGUAGUGGGUUUACUUUUCAAAUGCCACUACUGCUGCUGCAACA